UACAGAGGUCUCAAGCGUUGUUCGGAUUCAUUGGGCGUAAAGGGGUGCGUAGGCGGCGCGGUAAGUCGGGUGUGAAAUCUUGGAGCUUAACUCCGAAACUGCAUUCGAUACUGCCGUGCUUGAGGACUGGAGAGGAGACUGGAAUUUACGGUGUAGCGGUGAAAUGCGUAGAUAUCGUAAGGAAGACCAGUGGCGAAGGCGGGUCUCUGGGCAGUAACUGACGCUGAGGAGCGAAAGCGUGGGGAGCGAACAGG
rnacentral:rRNA from 1 species